UUACCCACUCCCGGCACGGGGAGGUAGUGACGAAAAAUAACGAUACGGGACUCAUCCGAGGCCCCGUAAUCGGAAUGAGUACACUCUAAACCCUUUAACGAGGAUCAAUUGGAGGGCAAGUCUGGUGCCAGCAGCCGCGGUAAUUCCAGCUCCAAUAGCGUAUAUUAAAGUUGUUGCGGUUAAAAAGCUCGUAGUCGAAUUUGUGUCUCGUGCCGCUGGUUCAUCGUUCGCGGUGUUAACUGGCGAGUCGCGAGACNUCCUGCCGGUGGGCUUAGCUCGCAAGGGCGGCCCAACUCAAUCCUGCCGCGGUGCUCUUCACUGAGUGUCGAGGUGGGCCGGCACGUUUACUUUGAACAAAUUAGAGUGCUUAAAGCAGGCUAAAACUUCGCCUGAAUACUGUGUGCAUGGAAUAAUGGAAUAGGACCUCGGUUCUAUUUUGUUGGUUUUCGGAACUCCGAGGUAAUGAUUAAUAGGAACGGAUGGGGGCAUUCGUAUUGCGACGUUAGAGGUGAAAUUCUUGGAUCGUCGCAAGANGGACAGAAGCGAAAGCAUUUGCCAAAAACGCUUUCAUUGAUCAAGAACGAAAGUUAGAGGUUCGAAGGCGAUCAGAUACCGCCCUAGUUCUAACUAUAAACGAUGUCAGCUAGCGAUCCGUCGACGUUCCUCCGAUGACUCGACGGGCAGCUUCCGGGAAACCNNNGCUUUUGGGUUCCGGGGGAAGUAUGGUUGCAAAGCUGAAACUUAAAGGAAUUGACGGAAGGGCACCACCAGGAGUGGAGCCUGCGGCUUAAUUUGACUCAACACGGGAAACCUCACCAGGCCCGGACACCGGAAGGAUUGACAGAUUGAGAGCUCUUUCUUGAUUCGGUGGGUGGUGGUGCAUGGCCGUUCUUAGUUGGUGGAGCGAUUUGUCUGGUUAAUUCCGAUAACGAACGAGACUCUAGCCUGCUAACUAGGCGUAUUUUGACAUCCUAAAGGCCCGCCGACUUGGGG
rnacentral:rRNA from 1 species